UCAAACGUAUACUGGACUGGAUGUUACAGAAGAUGGUCUAACAAGGAGGAAGGAUGGGUUUUGUUGGAGAGCUCGCAGUAUACAGGAACUGACAAUCGGCAUUACUUGUGCGUAAGACUGCAGGAAGGCCAGUGGACAUCAGCACAGUGCAGCACGAAGCUCUGGUACAUCUGCGAGAAGCCAGCCAGGCCCGGAGGGACAGACCCCCUCCCGGUUUGGUCGGCCUGAGACCUGGAGGCUGCCUCCCCAGCAGGAAGCCCCAGAGACGCCCGGCAGGACAUCCACCAAAGGCGUCUCCUUGAAGCAGAACCGUUUCCACGGACUUCGCAGAGGCCGACAUCUCCCCCGAACGCAAGCUCUGCUGAAGUCUGAAGAAGGCCUUCUCGGCCGAUGGCCGGUCGAGGGGAGUCCAUCCCCCGGGGCAGCUUUUCUGAGACCUCUCCCAGCUCUUCUGUCCGGUCUCGGCAGCAUCUCCCCACACAGCUCCAAGGAAUAAAUUCUGCCAUCAGGAGAGAGGUGUGUGAUUUGGUCCGAGUUCAAACCCCCUCCUCCUCCUCCUCCAAGGCCAGGGAAACAUUUUACGUUCUGGCGGCAACCCCUGGAAACUGAGUCCGCACCUGCCCCAAUGUGCGCCACACGCAGAAACA